UACGUAGGGUGCGAGCGUUGUCCGGAAUUAUUGGGCGUAAAGAGCUCGUAGGCGGCUUGUCACGUCGAUUGUGAAAGCCCGAGGCUUAACCUCGGGUCUGCAGUCGAUACGGGCUAGCUAGAGUGUGGUAGGGGAGAUCGGAAUUCCUGGUGUAGCGGUGAAAUGCGCAGAUAUCCGGAGGAACACCGGUGGCGAAGGCGGAUCUCUGGGCCAUUACUGACGCUGAGGAGCGAAAGCGUGGGGAGCGAACAGG
rnacentral:rRNA from 1 species